AUACGUAGGUGGCAAGCGUUGUCCGGAAUUAUUGGGCGUAAAGCGCGCGCAGGCGGUCCUUUAAGUCUGAUGUGAAAGCCCACGGCUCAACCGUGGAGGGUCAUUGGAAACUGGGGGACUUGAGUGCAGAAGAGGAAAGUGGGAUUCCAAGUGUAGCGGUGAAAUGCGUAGAGAUUUGGAGGAACACCAGUGGCGAAGGCGACUUUCUGGUCUGUAACUGACGCUGAGGCGCGAAAGCGUGGGGAGCAAACAGGAUUAGAUACCCGGGUAGUCCACGCCGUAAACGAUGAGUGCUAAGUGUUAGGGGGUUUCCGCCCCUUAGUGCUGCAGCUAACGCAUUAAGCACUCCGCCUGGGGAGUACGGUCGCAAGACUGAAACUCAAAUGAAUUGACGGGG
rnacentral:rRNA from 1 species